rnacentral:lncRNA from 1 species
GUUUCAUCCCACUUUUGGGUUGUUUGGCUUCCCAUACCUUUCCCCUCGCCUCCUCUCCUCUCCUCUCCUAUCGUCUCCUCUUCUCUCCUAUCGUCUCCUCUCCUCUCCUCUCCUAUCGUCUCCUCUUCUCUCCUAUCGUCUCCUCUCCUCUCCUCUCCUAUCGUCUCCUCUUCUCUCCUAUCGUCUCCUCUCCUCUCCUCUCCUAUCGUCUCCUCUUCUCUCCUAUCGUCUCCUCUCCUCUCCUCUCCUAUCGUCUCCUCUUCUCUCCUAUCGUCUCCUCUCCUCUCCUCUCCUAUCGUCUCCUCUCCUCUCGUCUCGUCUCCUCUCCUAUCGUCUCCCCUCCUAUAGUCUCCUCUCCUCUCCUCUCCUCUCGUCUCAUCUCCUCUCCUAUCGUCUCCUCUCCUCUCCUCUCCUAUCGUCUCCUCCCUUUCCUCACCUCUCGUAUCCUCUCGUCUUGUCUCGUCUCGUCUCCUCUCCUAUCGUCUCCUCUCCUAUAGUCUCCUCUCCUUUCCUCUCGCCUCCUCUCCUCUCCUCUCCUAUCGUCUCGUCUCGUCUCCUCUCCUCUCCUCUCCUCUCUUGUCUCGUCUCGUCUUGUGUCCUCUCCUAUGGUCUCCUCUCCUAUAGUCUCCUCUCCUCUCCUUUCCUCUCGCCACCUCUCCUAUCGUCUCCUCUCCUCUCGUCUCCUCUCCUAUCGUCUCCUCUCCUCUCCUCUCGUCUCGUCUCCUCUCCUAUCGUCUCCUCUCCUAUAGUCUCCUCUCCCCUCCUUUCCUCUCCUCUCCUAUCGUCUCCUCUCCUCUCCUUUCAUCUCGUCUCGUCUCCUCUCCUAUCAUCUCCUCUCGUCUUGUCUCAUCUCGUCUCCUCUCCUCUCCUCUCGUCUCGUCUCCUAUCGUCUCCUCUCCUAUAGUCUCCUCUCCUCUCCUAUCGUAUCCUCUCCUCUCAUCUCGUCUCGUCUCCUCUCCUAUUGUCUCCUCUCCUCUCCUUUCAUCUCGUCUCGUCUCCUCUCCUAUAGUCUCCUCUCCUCUCCUUUCCUCUCGCCUCCUCUCCUCUCCUCUCGUCUCGUCUCUUCUCCUAUCGUCUCCUCUCGUCUCGUCUCCUCUCCUCCCCUCUCCUUUUGUCUCCUCUCCUAUCGUCUCCUCUCGCCUCCUCUCCUCUCCUCUCGUCUCCUCUCCUCUCUCUCCUCUCUUCAUCACUGUCCAAACGUGACAGCUGAGCCGUGCUGUCAGCACCGGAGCUCUGACUGGAAGGGGCAGCGGUGGAUCAUGGCUCCCCGGGUGGAGUGCGCUCUGUCUGCUGUCU